AUGCAACAUCCCCUGAUGAUACUCAAGUUUCUUAUAAAACUUGGAAAUAUGCAUACAAAGGUAGUUUUGAGAGAUGGGGCUGAACAGUUACUUGUUGUAUAUAUAUUGCAAUGUUGCUCCAAUUUAUCAACCCUUAGUCGUAGUAGUACAAAUAUACUCGGUGUAUUUAUAGUUCCACUUAGCAUGAAGGAGCAUGAUCAAAUUGAGAAUCAAACAGAAAUAUCCGUCAAGCAUAUCAGGUCAAGGAAGGUAGAAAACUUGUUACAUAAGGUAAGGUUCAGUAGCUUCAGAACUUUUUCUGUUAUACAAAUACUGCUUCAGUUUCAGAACAUGUAUUAG
rnacentral:rRNA from 1 species